AUUGAACGCUGGCGGCAGGCCUAACACAUGCAAGUCGAGCGAGCGGCGGACGGGUGUGUAAUGUAUGGGGACUGCCCGAUAGAGGGGGAUAACUACUGGAAACGGUGGCUAAUACCGCAUACUAUCGGAUAACCCAUAUGGGAUUAGCUAGUGGGUGGGGUAAAGUCUCACCUAGGCGACGAUCUCUAGCUGGUCUGAGAGGCUGAUCAGCCACACUGGGACUGAGACACGUCCCAGCCUCCUACGGAGGCAGCAGUGGGGGAUAUUGCACAAGGGGCGCAAGCCUGAUACAGCCAUGCCGCUUGUAUGAAGAAGGCCUUAGGGUUGUAAAGUACUUUCAGCGGUGAGUCGUUACCCGCCGAAGAAGCACCGGCUAACUCCGUGCCAGCAGCCGCGGUAAUAC
rnacentral:rRNA from 1 species